rnacentral:RNase_P_RNA from 1 species
AGAGUUGCUUGGUCUGUCGCUUGUUCGUGAGAGCAAGAGGAAAGUCCGGGCAGUGCAGAGCAAUUUGCUUCUUAACGGGAAGAUAUCCGUGAGGGUAUGGCAUUGUAGAAGAAAAUAACCGCCGCAAGGUAAGGGUGAGAACGUGAGGUAAGAGCUCACGACGGCUUGUAGCGAUAUAUGUCGUGUACAACCCGAAUGCUGAAAGUUCAAGUAUACCAGCGUCUGAGAGCUGCUCGUUCGAUACACAAAACGCUGGAGGGUAGAACGAUAGAGUCUGGCGGUGACGUCAGAUGUAGAUAAAUGACAGAGACAGAAAUGUUACAGAACCCGGCUUAUAGAGCGACUCUUUUU